AGAGUCCCGUUCAGUAUGACCCACUGAUUGGUUGGUGCGCCAGCGGGUUCAUCCCAGAUUUCAAUUCCGCUAAUUUUCUUCGGAGUAUAUAAGGUGGCUGCGGAACUCUCCCAAUAACAAACCUGCAGUCCUAGAAGACACAAGUUAAAAAAAACGGGAAACAAAUUUACUCUUUACGAAUUCAAGAUGAAGGUCCUAUUCCUUCUUUACGUCUUUGCUAUUUCCGUACUAAUCGCCGCAGCUCAGACAAGCAACAUCAAGAGUAACCUUGCUGAUCUCGACACUGCGGAAGCUAUACCGUAUGGGAAUACAGGGCGCUAUCGCCGUCCACCCUAUCGAGGCGGAUCGUCAUCCCAUUUCCGCGUUACUGGAUAACGUACGUGCAUUUCUCAAAUCCUGAUGUGGGCCGUGUCCCGUCCUAUUUUGAAAUUAUAGAGAUUUAAAUGUUAACAUUUUAAAUUUUACGUAUAUGAAAUGUUGUGUUUCACGAGAUAUAUACACACAAUGUCUUACCGCAAA